CUCUCUCUUCUCUGAAGCUAAAAGCCAGAUCAAUGAACACAACAGCUGAUUCCAGAAACAGCUCUUCAAUUCCCACGACGUCGUGACUCAGUAUGGCUGGUUACCGAUAACCCACGAUGUCAAACCACAUGCCGUCCCUGCUCCCCAGACACAACAGAACCAACAAUUAAUCGAGUGUCCGGAACUCCUGGAGUCAUCAUGAGAUCAUGACAUCACCUCACCCACAGCUUCUACCAUGGAAAUCCUUUCUUCUGCCUUGGUUCUGAAGCUUAAUGGAGCCGAGGCCAACACUGCUGCAAUCAAAUACCUGCCUUGGGGACGCUUAGGAAGACAUCGGCGUCUGCUGUUCUAACCUACUGUGCUUCACAGGGCUGCCUGCUGCCACACUGAGAGCUAAGUCACACAGGGUGUGAUGAUGUACAUCUUUAAUCCUCGUACCUGGGAGGUGGAGGCAGGUGGAUCUGGGUUUGAGGACAACCUGGUUUACAUAGCGAGCGCCACAGUGAGACCUUGCCUCAAAUAAGUAAGGAGUGGGUCCAAGCUGGCUGACUCUGGGAUGGACUAGAGAGCUGUACCUUAUACAGAGGGAGAACCGGAGGAGCCCAGUCAAACCCAUUGUUUCCUUCAGUCUGGUCCAUGCCAAAUGCCUUGAGAAGCAACAACGUCAACAACACGUAACUCGAGGCUGGGGCUUUAGUGAGUGGUAGAGGACUUGCCUAGGAUGUCUAAGCCCUGAUACUCCUCAGCUUUGCAGACACCUCGACAGUCCCCCUGGAACCGGAGGUGCAGGCGGUUGUGACUCGCCAUAUGGGUGGCAGGAACUGAAUCCUGUCCAAGAGCAACAAGUGCUCUUAUUUGCUGGGUCAGUUCUCCAGCUCUGUUGUCUCUCUUCUUUUCCAAGAGGAAGAAAAGAAGGUAUUCUUUUUGUAGGUAAACUAAACCAUCACCAAACUAUAUCAACAGUCUAUUGUACACAUUUUCCCUGUGGUACUCACUGUAUAUUAUUAUUAAAGAUUUAUUUAUUU